AUGGGCUUCAAGAAGCAUGUCCCUCGGGCACUCAAAGAAAUACAGAAAUUUGCCAUGAAGGACUUGGAAACUCCAGACAUUGACACCAGGCUCAACAAAGUUGUCUGGGCCAAAGGAAUAAAGAAUGUUCCAGACCAUAUCCAUGUCAGAUUGCUGUCAGACAUAGCCCAUGGGCAUGGACAUGAACAUGGUCAUAGUAAAAUGGAACUUCCAGACUAUAAACAAUGGAAGAUAGAAGGGAUACCAUUAGAAACUGUCCAGAAAAAACUGACUGCACAGGGACUGAGGGACCCAUGGGGAUGCAAUGAAGCUUGGAGAUACAUGGGUGGCUUUGCGAACAAUGUUUCCUUUGUUGGUGCAUUAUUAAAAGGAUUCAAUUGGGGAUUUGCUGCAUGUGUGGUAGCUGUAGGGGCUGAAUAUUACCUGAUGUCCCAGAAUAAAGAUGAGAAGCAUCACUGAAGAUAUUACCUGCAAAGAUCUUAGUGGCUUCUUAACUCUCCAAAAUAAUAUUUCUUCACUGUAACCUACUUGUCUGUGUGUUUGAUCCUUCAAGAAUAUUAGUAAGAGUUAAUAAAGAAAAACAUACACCAAAAAAAAAAAAAAA